rnacentral:rRNA from 1 species
UUGAACGCUGGCGGCAUGCUUUACACAUGCAAGUCGAACGGCAGCACGGGGGCAACCCUGGUGGCGGGUGGCGAACGGGUGAGUAAUAUAUCGGAACAUGUCCGGAAGUGGGGGAUAACGUAGCGAAAGUUACGCUAAUACCGCAUAUGCCCUGAGGGGGAAAGGGGGGGAUCGCAAGACCUCUCGCUUUCGGAGUGGCCGAUAUCGGAUUAGCUAGUUGGUGAGGUAAAGGCUCACCAAGGCGACGAUCCGUAGCUGGUCUGAGAGGACGACCAGCCACACUGGGACUGAGACACGGCCCAGACUCCUACGGGAGGCAGCAGUGGGGAAUUUUGGACAAUGGGGGCAACCCUGAUCCAGCCAUGCCGCGUGAGUGAAGAAGGCCUUAGGGUUGUAAAGUUCUUUUGUCAGGGAAGAAAGUUUCUGUGCUAAUACCAUAGAACGAUGACGGUACCUGAAGAAUAAGCACCGGCUAACUACGU